GUGACUGGAACGCCGAGUCCUGCCUGCCGGUCACGGUCAACAACCCACAGGCAUGGAGCGGGGGACCCACCAGUUCCUCGGCACGUCCACGAGCCGGAGUUCCCGGAACGCAUGGACGAGCCUCGGGGUGAAGCCGCACCCGUGCGGCCGGGCUCCUCGGCCCGAACCCGACAGCUCACCUCGCAGGCGUGGAGGGAAAACUU
rnacentral:sRNA from 2 species